AGCGGAUGAGUGGAGCUUGCUCCAUGAUUCAGCGGCGGACGGGUGAGUAAUGCCUAGGAAUCUGCCUGGUAGUGGGGGACAACGUUUCGAAAGGAACGCUAAUACCGCAUACGUCCUACGGGAGAAAGUGGGGGAUCUUCGGACCUCACGCUAUCAGAUGAGCCUAGGUCGGAUUAGCUAGUUGGUGAGGUAAAGGCUCACCAAGGCGACGAUCCGUAACUGGUCUGAGAGGAUGAUCAGUCACACUGGAACUGAGACACGGUCCAGACUCCUACGGGAGGCAGCAGUGGGGAAUAUUGGACAAUGGGCGAAAGCCUGAUCCAGCCAUGCCGCGUGUGUGAAGAAGGUCUUCGGAUUGUAAAGCACUUUAAGUUGGGAGGAAGGGCAGUAAGUUAAUACCUUGCUGUUUUGACGUUACCGACAGAAUAAGCACCGGCUAACUUCGUGCCAGCAGCCGCGGUAAUACGAAGGGUGCAAGCGUUAAUCGGAAUUACUGGGCGUAAAGCGCGCGUAGGUGGUUCGUUAAGUUGGAUGUGAAAGCCCCGGGCUCAACCUGGGAACUGCAUCCAAAACUGGCGAGCUAGAGUAUGGCAGAGGGUGGUGGAAUUUCCUGUGUAGCGGUGAAAUGCGUAGAUAUAGGAAGGAACACCAGUGGCGAAGCGACCACCUGGGCUAAUACUGACACUGAGUGCGAAAGCGUGGGGAGCAAACAGGAUUAGAUACCCUGGUAGUCCACGCCGUAAACGAUGUCGACUAGCCGUUGGGAUCCUUGAGAUCUUAGUGGCGCAGCUAACGCAUUA
rnacentral:rRNA from 1 species